rnacentral:rRNA from 1 species
AUUGAACGCUGGCGGCAGGCCUAACACAUGCAAGUCGAGCGGAUGAGGAGAGCUUGCUCUCUGAUUUAGCGGCGGACGGGUGAGUAAUGCCUAGGAAUCUGCCUGGUAGUGGGGGAUAACGUCCGGAAACGGGCGCUAAUACCGCAUACGUCCUACGGGAGAAAGCAGGGGACCUUCGGGCCUUGCGCUAUCAGAUGAGCCUAGGUCGGAUUAGCUAGUUGGUGAGGUAAUGGCUCACCAAGGCGACGAUCCGUAACUGGUCUGAGAGGAUGAUCAGUCACACUGGAACUGGGACACGGUCCAGACUCCUACGGGAGGCAGCAGUGGGGAAUAUUGGACAAUGGGCGAAAGCCUGAUCCAGCCAUGCCGCGUGUGUGAAGAAGGUCUUCGGAUUGUAAAGCACUUUAAGUUGGGAGGAAGGGCAGUAAGUUAAUACCUUGCUGUUUUGACGUUACCGACAGAAUAAGCACCGGCUAACUUCGUGCCAGCCGCCGCAGUAAAAC